rnacentral:rRNA from 1 species
CCUACGGGUGGCUGCAGUCGAGAAUCUUUCACAAUGGGGGCAACCCUGAUGGAGCGACGCCGCGUGGAGGAUAAGGUCUUCGGAUUGUAAACUCCUGUCAUGCGCGAACAAGGCUGCAGGGCUAACACCUUUGCAGAUUGAUGGUAGCGCAAGAGGAAGAGACGGCUAACUCUGUGCCAGCAGCCGCGGUAAUACAGAGGUCUCAAGCGUUGUUCGGAAUCACUGGGCGUAAAGGGUGCGUAGGUGGCGUGGUAAGUCAGAUGUGAAAGCCCGGG